GACGAUGAAAGGACGACUGGCGGAACGAAGCGCAAUCGAUGUCAUUCCAGUCACUUGGAGCCACAUGAAACUCUUCAGCUUACCCCUCUCUCCAUAAUUUCUAGAUAUCUUUCUUCUCGCUCACUCCACUCAAAUUAUUUUGGUCCAUUCACCUUCUGUAACUUAAUAACAUUAACAUGCCACUUCAAAUUCCACUGUCUUCACAUUUAUUUCUUCUUUCUCAUUUCAUUUUUCUGCUUCACAUGAGGAGUUCUGAAGCCAUGACUGGAGCUCUUCAGAGGAGUGCAACAAGAUGUUCAACUUCACGUGCUUUGCUCAUAGGUGAACGGGUUUUCUUUACCUCUUAUCCAUUUCUUCAUUGUUGUUUAAUAUGUCCUGUCAGAUCAUAAGCCACGACGGGAGCUCUUCGGAGAUGCGCAACAAGAUGUUUGACUUUUUCUGCUUUGCUCAUAGUGGUAGAGCUCGGUGGUGGUAAGCAGUGCGAGAUCGUUGGUUAUCUUCUUGGAUUUUUGGUUUUUUACAUCAGGAGAGCUCGAUGGGGGAAAGUUGGAGAGGUAUGAAGUGGUUCUACUAUUUCGUGAGUUAGAUAAGGUAGGUGAGAAAAAAAAUAUCUAUCAGAAGUUUAACUGAUUCUUGUAAUACUUUAAUUUCCUCUUUUGCACAUUGAACUGAUUGUUUAAUUUAUGAAAUAUUUGUCAAUGUUCUUGAAUUAUUAUUUUUGUAUUUAA